rnacentral:rRNA from 1 species
CCUACGGGUGGCUGCAGUGAGGAAUAUUGGUCAAUGGACGAGAGUCUGAACCAGCCAAGUAGCGUGAAGGAUGACUGCCCUAGGGGUUGUAAACUUCUUUUAUAUGGGAAUAAAAUGUUCCACGUGUGGGAUUUUGUAUGUACCCUAUGAAUAAGGAUCGGCUAACUCCGUGCCAGCAGCCGCGGUAAUACGGAGGAUCCGAGCGUUAUCCGGAUUUAUUGGGUUUAAAGGGAGCGUAGGUGGAUUGUUAAGUCAGUUGUGAAAGUUUGCGGCUCAACCGUAAAAUUGCAGUUGAAACUGGCAGUCUUGAGUACAGUAGAGGUGGGCGGAAUUCGUGGUGUAGCGGUGAAAUGCUUAGAUAUCACGAAGAACUCCGAUUGCGAAGGCAGUUCACUGGACUGCAACUGACACUGAGGCUCGAAAGUGUGGGUAUCAAACAGGAUUAGAUACCCGAGUAGUC